GUCCGGCGGGAGAGCUUUCCGAAAUCGACCACCAAACAAACAUUGCAGCUGAAGGUUCCCUGGUAGACGACGAUCAAUAGACCUGAGAACCUGAAAUAAUUUGUCGUGGUCCUGAAUUGUCCUGAUGAUGGUAAACCCAGAUAAGGGCUUUGGACGCAAGAAAUUAUUAAACUUGUUGUUUUCAAUAUUUUACACUACUGAGUCGAUACCUCUGCUGGUGGACUAUCGGUCCCCGAGGGUAUAAUCAGCUCAGUAGUUAGUACUUCGGUACUGACAUGAUUUAACUAACUUUACUAAAAUUGUCCGUUUAUAAAUUUUGAAAUUAUAAAAAAAAAAGAAGGUUUAAACUUCCUCAGGCAAAGUUGGCUUUGGAUGAAUUUGGGUAUUUAAUUUAGGUAUUUUUUUACAUAUAGCUCUUCAACGGUUUCGGUACUUAUACAUCUUCGGAUUUCAAAUGUUUGAACGCUUCGAACACAAUAAAUUGUUAAACGUGUUGUUUUCAAUAUUGUACUGAUCCCGAAAUUUCCAAAACGGAUGUCAUUAUGUCUGAGAAUCUGGGUGCCGAAAUGUCUUGCUACUCAUUGAAAAAGUACUUGUACCCGAUAGUGACAAUAAUUAUAACUUACAUAAAAUUUACUGCAACCGUAAAUGGUCAGAACAAUUUGGAUCUGUGUGUCAACUAGGUCUGUACCUCACCUGAAAUUCAGACUCGGUUUAUGGUUCACUGUGAAAUUCACAGUAAAUCCGUUGUGUAUAGGUUUGAUGCACAAC
rnacentral:lncRNA from 1 species